GGCAGUGUGGCCGAGUGGUUUAGGGCGCUGGUGUUGUAAUCCGGUGGUUCCGGGUUCAAGCCCUUCAUUCUGCCA